rnacentral:misc_RNA from 1 species
UCCGAGUUGACCCCGGCAGUCUCCCUAGAGUUCCCGGCAUGACCCGCUGGCAACUAAGGAUAGGGGUUGCGCUCGUUGCGCCACUUAAGGCAACACCUCACGGCACGAGCUGACGACAGCCAUGCACCACCUGUGCAGGCUCCGUAGAGCACCCGCUUUCACGGGUUUCACCCUGCAUGUCAAGCCCAGGUAAGGUUCUUCGCGUAGCCUCGAAUUAAGCCACAUCCUCCACCGCUUGUGUGAGCCCCCGUCAAUUUCUUUGAGUUUUAGCCUCGCGGCCGUACUCCCCAGGCGGGGUGCUUAAUGCGUUGGCUGCGGCACAGAGGGCGUGGAAGCCCCCCACACCUAGCACCCACCGUUUACGGCGUGGACUAC